UACGGGGGGAGCAAGCGUUGUUCGGAUUUACUGGGCGUAAAGGGCGCGUAGGCGGUCAGCACAAGUCAGUUGUGAAAUCUCCGGGGCUUAACUCGGAAAGGUCAACUGAUACUGUGCGACUAGAGUGCGGAAGGGGCAACUGGAAUUCUCGGUGUAGCGGUGAAAUGCGUAGAUAUCGAGAGGAACACCUGCGGCGAAGGCGGGUUGCUGGGCCGACACUGACGCUGAUGCGCGAAAGCCAGGGGAGCGAACGGG
rnacentral:rRNA from 1 species